CCUACGGGUGGCUGCAGUGGGGAAUUUUGGACAAUGGGGGCAACCCUGAUCCAGCCAUGCCGCGUGAGUGAAGAAGGCCUUCGGGUUGUAAAGCUCUUUCGGCCGGGAAGAAAUCGCGUGAGUUAAUACCUUGCGUGGAUGACGGUACCGGAAUAAGAAGCACCGGCUAACUACGUGCCAGCAGCCGCGGUAAUACGUAGGGUGCGAGCGUUAAUCGGAAUUACUGGGCGUAAAGCGUGCGCAGGCGGUUUUUUAAGACAGGCGUGAAAUCCCCG
rnacentral:rRNA from 1 species